rnacentral:rRNA from 1 species
GUGAGGAAUAUUGGACAAUGGGCGCAAGCCUGAUCCAGCCAUGCCGCGUGCAGGAAGACGCAUCUAUGGUGUGUAAACUGCUUUUGUACGGGAAGAAACACUCCCUCGUGAGGGAGCUUGACGGUACCGUAAGAAUAAGGAUCGGCUAACUCCGUGCCAGCAGCCGCGGUAAUACGGAGGAUCCAAGCGUUAUCCGGAAUCAUUGGGUUUAAAGGGUCCGUAGGCGGUUUAAUAAGUCAGUGGUGAAAGCCCAUCGCUCAACGAUGUAACGGCCAUUGAUACUGUUAGACUUGAAUUACAAGGAAGUAACUAGAAUAUGUAGUGUAGCGGUGAAAUGCUUAGAUAUUACAUGGAAUACCAAUUGCGAAGGCAGGUUACUACUUGUGGAUUGACGCUGAUGGACGAAAGCGUGGGGAGCGAACAGGAUUAGAAACCCUUGUAGUCC